UACGAAGGGGGCUAGCGUUGCUCGGAAUGACUGGGCGUAAAGGGUGCGUAGGUGGGCAGGUAAGUCAGUGGUGAAAUCUCCGAGCUUAACUCGGAAACUGCCAUUGAUACUAUCUGUCUUGAAUACCGUGGAGGUCAGCGGAAUAUGUCAUGUAGCGGUGAAAUGCUUAGAUAUGACAUAGAACACCAAUUGCGAAGGCAGCUGGCUACACGAAUAUUGACACUGAUGCACGAAAGCGUGGGGAUCAAACAGG
rnacentral:rRNA from 1 species